CACUGAGGAAGUUAUCUUUUUGAAAACAACAACUUUUGAAAAAUAAGCUGGUGUCAGCAAUUGAAUAUUGAGCUAAAUUUAAUUCAGCAACAUUAAUAUAAAGAAGUGAAAGACUUAUAAUGGUAGUGUAAAAUGUCUUGAAAUUCUGUCAGCAUGAAGUAUUGUGUGAUGAAAACAAUGUGUUUUUUACUGCAAUGUGGAAAUCAAUAAUAAGUUGGUUGGAAAGGAGGUUGAACUGCCUGUUGUUGUUUUUGGAAUACUGAAGAACAGUUUUAACAGGUUAAACUCUUGCCACAAGGCAAAAUUGACAUCGAUGGGAAGAUCCUUUGGAAAGAAUGUGCAUCAUCGCCUGCCUGACGUAUGGACUUUUAAACCUGGUUUUUACCCUGCACAAGCUGGCAAACUUGAGGGGAACAAGAGUGGGAAAACCUCGCCCUGUCCUUGACCAAGAAAGCUCGAUUUGUUGAGAGAUCAACUGGCAUAAGAGAUGCUCAAGAGGAGAAGGACACAAGCAGCAUCAAUGGUACAACUACGUGUCGCUCCAGCGCCCGCUUUCCAGGUCUCUACCAGCUGCUUUCCAGGUCCCUCCACCCGCCAAGAUCAGGUCUAAUUCCCUGCACUGGCUGCUUUACAGGUCCCCUAGCAGUCAAGGUCUCUCCAGUAGCUGCUGUGCAGGUCCCAACACCGUAUGCCGUCAAGGUCCCUCCAUAAGCUGAAAUCCAGGUUCCUCAUUCCACUGCGGUGCAGGUACCUCCAACAGCUGAGAUCCAGGUCUCUGCAGCAGCUGCGGUCUAAAUACUCCACCCGCAGUGGUCCAUUGCGGUCAACCUUUUGCUUUAAAAUCUUCCAUAAAUGUCUAUUAUUUUAUAAUGUAUUGUAAAAAUAAUCUGUUUGUAUAAAUUUGCGGUGUACUAUUUUUGUCAUAUAAACAUAAUUUUCGUA